UAUAUUGAGUUUUUAUAAGAAUAGAGAUUUUAACUUUUUAAAAAAUACAACAUUUUUUAAACAUUUCAAGCAACGUGAUUACGUAUUAAUUGAAACAUGUAUUUACUUUAAAAUCGAUACGUUCAAAAUGAAAAGGGAGCUUAUCAAUGUAAAUUAUACAAUAUUGAAUCCGGGUGUGAAUCCGAUUAUGUUAUUUAAGAAUAUGUGAAUAUGCAUAUCUAUGUAUGUAACAUGAAUUUACAAUAAUAUAAUAUUUUGCAUAGCAGAAAACUUCGUGAAGUGUAAUAUAUUAUAAUUUUGAGAGUACGAAUGUCGAUAAUAAUCUCUUAUGGAAAAUAAUGACGUAAUUUUCAUCCAAAGUUUCCAUUCAAGGAUAUGUUACAGGUAUACAUGGCACAUGUGGUAUAUAAAUUAUUUCACCGUUUCUAGAGCAGCAAAUCGGGAACUAACAAAUUAGUUCUUUUUCUGCUAAGAUUGAAUGAAUGUGAGGUGUUCGAAAUUAAUUUAUUAUUUAUCUUUGGAAGAAGAAACAGAUCAAGGAAAAGAGAAAGAGAUAAAUCAAGAGAAGAGAGGUGCAAUAAUAUCUUUU